rnacentral:rRNA from 1 species
UCCGAUCAGGCUGUUGGCGGGGUAAUGGCCCACCAAACCUGUAACCGGUACGGGCCUUGAGAGAGGUGGCCCGGAGAUGGACACUGAGAGAAGGGUCCAGGUCCUACGGGGCGCAGCAGGCGCGAAACCUUCGCAAUGCGCGAAAGCGUGACGAGGUUAAUCCGAGUGGCCCCCGCUGAGGGGGUCUUUUGUCAGCUGUAAAUAGGCAGGCGAAUAAGGGGAGGGCAAGCCUGGUGUCAGCCGCCGCGGUAAUACCAGCUCCUCGAGUGGUCGGGGCGAUUAUUGGGCCUAAAGCAUCCGUAGCCGGUUCCGUAGGUCCUCUGUUAAAUCCAGCCGCUUAACGGUUGACAUGCAGAGGAUACCGCGGGACUAGGAGGCGGGAGAGGCGGACGGUACUCCGCGUGUAGGGGUAAAAUCCUUUGAUCCGCGGAAGA